rnacentral:rRNA from 1 species
GCUUAGAAGCAGCCAUCAUUUAAAGAGUGCGUAAUAGCUCACUAGUCGAGUGACACUGCGCCGAAAAUGUACCGGGGCUAAACAUAUUACCGAAGCUGUGGAUUGUCCUUUGGACAAUGGUAGGAGAGCGUUCUAAGGGCGUUGAAGCAUGAUCGUAAGGACAUGUGGAGCGCUUAGAAGUGAGAAUGCCGGUGUGAGUAGCGAAAGACGGGUGAGAAUCCCGUCCACCGAUUGACUAAGGUUUCCAGAGGAAGGCUCGUCCGCUCUGGGUUAGUCGGGUCCUAAGCUGAGGCCGACAGGCGUAGGCGAUGGAUAACAGGUUGAUAUUCCUGUACCACCUAUAAUCGUUUUAAUCGAUGGGGGGACGCAGUAGGAUAGGCGAAGCGUGCGAUUGGAUUGCACGUCUAAGCAGUAAGGCUGAGUAUUA